CACAGAUGCAAUAAUCACGAGCAUGCACGCCUCUUCAGGAAGCCCCCACACUCCAGGAGCAACUCCAAAGGCACUGAGUCAUCUCCCCACACCGACAGCUCCUUCCUCAGAAUCUCACACUUACCUCUCACAAACCACACGUCCCACACCCACAGCACCUCAUGGCAUAUAUAGACCCUGACCUGUGAACAAUUAUUCUCACUCAGCCCCCUCCCACAUGGUCCAAACGGCUCCAGCUG
rnacentral:lncRNA from 1 species